rnacentral:rRNA from 1 species
UACGUACGUAGUACGUACAACCUUACCUUUUACAGGGGCAUAACACUGAGAAAUUGGUACUAAUUCCCAUAAUAUCUGAGACGGCAUUCGUUUUGGGUUGAAAACUCCGGUGGUAAAAGAUGGGCAUGCGUUGUAUUAGCUAGUUGGUGAGGUAACGGCUCACCAAGGCGACGAUACAUAGGGGGACUGAGAGGUUAACCCCCCACAUUGGUACUGAGACACGGACCAAACUCCUACGGGAGGCAGCAG